rnacentral:tRNA from 1 species
GCCUGGAUGGCUCAGUCGGGUAAGCAUCUGACUUUGGCUCAGGUCAUGAUCUCAUGGUUCGUGAGUUCAAGCCCCACAUCAGGCU